CCUUCGCCCUGACUUGUAGCCUGCAAACGCUAGCAAUUAUGCGGUGAGACGCAGGCAAUCAUCUCGAAAGAUGCUUGUACUGGUAGCAGUUUCUCGAACACGUACAGCAAUUUGGCCUGAAACUUCCUCCACGAAUCCACCUGCGUUCUCAAAAUGCCGUGGUAUUUAAAUGUCAGUAGGAUUUAAGGAUGCGGCCGGAAACUAUAGACGUGUGUGUGUGCACACGAGACUUGCGCUUGCGCACGCUGGCAAGACGGCGCGCUUGAAGAAGUUAUGAAGUCAUUUCUUUACUGAAGAAUCCAAUAACACAGACAGCUUGUGUUGUGACUCCACGCCCCAUGUUUAGUCUGAAACAUCGUGUAAUGCUCCGAAGAUAGGUUAAGCAGCAAAAUCGUCGAGAUCACACGCAAUCGGUGGAUGCUGUUAACACCGCCUUCGGUAAACGCGCAACGGCAACAUAUCAUGUGAAAUCGGAGAUAAGAUACGCUACAGCCUGAUCAAGCUUUAAGAACCAGAUACGAAUGGAGAAACUCGUGUAACCUACAUUGAACUCAGUACGAGGUAAUGAGACCCUCACUUGACAUCUCUUACAUUGUGUACAUGUAACAAGGAGUCGAUACGAUAACGUGAAAGAGCUGGACAAGUCACGAAGAAACGUGAAGUGUCGCCGAGGUCAUUAAUGUUAGAUCAUUGACAACACUUCACCCUGUUUUGGAACAGUGUAACCGAGGCUGACAUUUGAAGUACGUAUACUAGUUAUGUUCUUGUUCACGCCUCAGGUAUGGACAAAUAAGGAUUGUCGCUAAUAGCUAUUUAAUUCCGUUUC